GACGAACGCUGGCGGCGUGCCUAAUACAUGCAAGUCGAGCGGACAGAUAAGGAGCUUGCUCCUUUGAAGUCAGCGGCGGACGGGUGAGUAACACGUGGGCAACCUGCCUAUAAGACUGGGAUAACUCCGGGAAACCGGGGCUAAUACCGGAUAGAUUCUUUCCUCUCAUGAGGAAAGAAGGAAAGAUGGUUUCGGCUAUCACUUAUAGAUGGGCCCGCGGCGCAUUGGCUAGUUGGUAAGGUAACGGCUUACCAAGGCGACGAUGCGCAGCCGACCUGGAAGGGGGAUCGGCCACACUGGGAGUGAGACACGGCCCAGACUCCUACGGGAGGCAGCAGUAGGGAAUCUUCCGCAAUGGACGAAAGCCUGACGCAGCAACGCCGCGUGAGCGAAGAAGGCCUUCGGGUUGUAAAGCUCUGUCAGGGGGAAAGAAGGCACCUGGGUUAAUAGCCCAAGGGCUGACGGUACCCCCAAAGGAAGCCACGGCUAACUACGUGCCAGCCGCCGCGGUAAUAC
rnacentral:rRNA from 1 species